rnacentral:tRNA from 1 species
GUGAAUGUGGCGAAAUGGCUAACGCAUACGGUUGUGGCCCGUAUAUUGAGGGUUCAAUUCCCUCCAUUCACACCA